ensembl:misc_RNA
CUAUAAAAGAUGUAACAGAUGCAAACUGUAACACAAGGGCCAUUAACCCUUUCUCUGCCGGGCAUACUCAGUCCCCACGCCCCGCACCUAUUGUCUCCUGUGCUCGAAGCUUUGCAGAAAACCUGGAA